AGUGAACGCUGGCGGUAGGCCUAACACAUGCAAGUCGAACGGCAGCACAGUAAGAGCUUGCUCUUACGGGUGGCGAGUGGCGGACGGGUGAGGAAUACAUCGGAAUCUACUUUUUCGUGGGUGAUAACGUAGGGAAACUUACGCUACUACCGCAUACGACCUACGGGUGAAAGCAGGGGAUCUUCGGACCUUGCGCGAUUGAAUGAGCCGAUGUCGGAUUAGCUAGUUGGCGGGGUAAAGGCCCACCAAGGCGACGAUCCGUAGCUGGUCUGAGAGGAUGAUCAGCCACACUGGAACUGAGACACGGUCCAGACUCCUACGGGAGGCAGCAGUGGGGAAUAUUGGACAAUGGGCGAAAGCCUGAUCCAGCCAUACCGCGUGGGUGAAGAAGGCCUUCGGGUUGUAAAGCCCUGUUGUUGGGAAAGAAAAGAAGCAGGUUAAUACCCGGAUGUUCUGACGGUACCCAAAGAAUAAGCACCGGCUAACUUCGUG
rnacentral:rRNA from 1 species